GGUUCUCUGAACAGGACGACCACCAGGGGAAGUGACAGCAGAGAGCAGACUACAGUCAGAGAGGAAGGAGACUUGUGUUACGCCUCGUUGGAUAUCCGUCAGGGACAGAGGAGACCAAAGAAGAAGAAGAGAACCAAGAACUCAGACUUCAGUACCUACUCAGACAUCAAUACCAGCAGAGUGUGAGACCUAUACCAGCCAUCAAUACCAGCAGAGUGUGAGACCUAUACCAUCCAUCAAUACCAUCAGAGUGAGACCUAUACCAGCCAUCAAUACCAGCAGAGUGUGAGACCUAUACCAGUCAUCAAUACCAGCAGAGUGUGAGACCUGUACCAUCCAUCAAUACCAGCAGGGUUUGAGAUCUAUACCAUCCACCAAUACCAGCAGGGUUUGAGACCUAUACCAUCCAUCAAUACCAGCAGAGUGUGAGACCUAUACCAUCCAUCAAUACCAGCAGUGUGAGACCUAUACCAGCCAUAAAUACCAGCAGGGUUUGAGACCUAUACCAUCCACCAAUACCAGCAGGGUUUGAGACCUAUACCAGCCAUCAAUACCAGCAGAGUGAGACCUAUACCAUCCAUCAAUACCAGCAUUGUGAGACCUAUACCAGCCAUCAAUACCAGCAGGGUUUGAGACCUAUACCAUCCACCAAUACCAGCAGGGUUUGAGACCUAUACCAGCCAUCAAUACCAGCAGUGUGAGACCUAUACCAGUCAUCAAUACCAGCAGAGUGUGAGACCUGUACCAUCCAUCAAUACCAGCAGAGUGUGAGACCUAUACCAUCCACCAAUACCAGCAGGGUUUGAGACCUAUACCAUUCACCAAUACCAGCAGGGUUUGAGACCUAUACCAGCCAUCAAUACCAGCAGUGUGAGACCUAUACCAGUCAUCAAUACCAGCAGAGUGUGAGACCUGUACCAUCCAUCAAUACCAGCAGAGUGUGAGACCUAUACCAUCCACCAAUACCAGCAGGGUUUGAGACCUAUACCAGCCAUCAAUACCAGCAGUGUGAGACCUAUACCAGUCAUCAAUACCAGCAGAGUGUGAGACCUGUACCAUCCAUCAAUACCAGCAGGGUUUGAGACCUAUACCAUCCACCAAUACCAGCAGGGUUUGAGACCUAUACCAGCCAUCAAUACCAGCAGUGUGAGACCUAUACCAGUCAUCAAUACCAGCAGAGUGUGAGACCUGUACCAUCCAUCAAUACCAGCAGAGUGUUAGACCUAUACCAUCCACCAAUACCAGCAGGGUUUGAGACCUAUACCAGCCAUCAAUACCAGCAGUGUGAGACCUAUACCUGCAGAGUGUGAGACCUAUACCAUCCAUCAAUACCAGCAGUGUGAGACCUAUACCUGCAGAGUGUGAGACCUAUACCAUCCAUCAAUACCAGCAGAGUGAGACCUAUACCAUCCAUCAAUACCAGUAGAGUGUGAGACCUAUACCAUCCAUCAAUACCAGCAGAGUGAGACCUAUGCCAUCUAUCAAUACCAGUAGAGUGUGAGACCUAUACCAUCCAUCAGUACCAGCAGAGUGAGACAUAUGCCAUCCAAUACCAGCAGAGUGAGACCUAUGCCAUCUAUCAAUACCAGUAGAGUGUGAGACCUAUACCUGCAGAGUGUGAGACCUAUACCAGCCAUCAAUACCAGCCGGAUGUGAGACAUAAACCAUUCAUCAAUACCAGAAGAGUGAGACCUAUACCAGCCAUCAAUACCAGCAGUGUGAGACCUAUACCA
rnacentral:lncRNA from 1 species